rnacentral:lncRNA from 1 species
UGUCACUCCAGAGGUUGCGGUGCUCACUACAACGAUUAUUCAUUUAAGACGAUCUAAAAUUGACUAAUUUGAGGUUAAUCCUUCGGCGCCGUUCUAUAGACUUGAUCCAUUUGGUGAAACAGAGAAAACAUUGCUGAAAUUCAAUUGUAGAUGUUGGCAUUUCUUUUCUGUGGCACCGUUUCCCGAACUAACCAACGCCCGCCAGUGGUCACUCACCCGCUGUUGUAACCAGGAGGACCCGGGUGCGACCAUACAUGUUAUUCCGCUGCGACACACCUGUAGUCACUCACGGGAUUGUGCCCAGGUCUUUCUUGUGAGUCGCAAACGAAGUGUUGCGAGUGUACGAGAGGAAUGAAAAAGCUGCUUCAAGUCACUUUCUCGUCUUAAGGGCCCACUAGAGACUUUGGAACUAGGGGUUAACAUCUGGAAUAAAAAUCAGAUUGAAUGAGAAAUCUGUAUAAUUGGUCCAUCCAUUAAAUUGGCCUAGUAAGCUGAAGUUCUGAUGGAUUUGGUAUUUGAAUUGUUUUCAUUAAUGUCAGGCUUGCUGGCUAGGAUACUGAAGAGAAUAUCUGGUGGCCAGAUUUGCCGAUUGUUGUGGCGUAGUGGAAGUAAGCUAGCCCCUUAAUCUAACUUGAUCUAUGUUCUAGUCUUCUUGGUUCCCCCUUCCCUGUUUAGUUGAAGUGUGGGUUUGUAAAAUUAAAGCCGUCAUUAUUAAAUUCAA